AUUGAACGCUGGCGGCAGGCCUAACACAUGCAAGUCGAACGGUAACAGGAAACAGCUUGCUGUUUCGCUGACGAGUGGCGGGCGGGUGAGUAAUGUCUGGGAAACUUCCUGAUGGAGGGGGGUAACUACUGGAAACGGUAGCUAAUAACGCAUAACGUCGCAAGAACAAAGAGGGGGACCCUCGGGCCCCUUGCCCUCGGAUGUGCCCAGAUGGGAUUAGCUUGUUGGUGGGGUAACGGCUCACCAAGGCGACGAUCCCUAGCUGGUCUGAGAGGAUGACCAGCCACACUGGAACUGAGACACGGUCCAGACUCCUACGGGAGGCAGCAGUGGGGAAUAUUGCACAAUGGGCGCAAGCCUGAUGCAGCCAUGCCGCGUGUAUGAAGAAGGCCUUCGGGUUGUAAAGUACUUUCAGCGGGGAGGAAGGGAGUAAAGUUAAUACCUUUGCUCAUUGACGUUACCCGCAGAAGAAGCACCGGCUAACUCCGUG
rnacentral:rRNA from 1 species